rnacentral:rRNA from 1 species
AUGCAGGGCCGGCAACGUGCACUUAAUUCACCUCUGUACAAGUUCAUGCACGGCCGGUCUAAUUUUUUUUUACUUUGUACAAGUUCAUGCACGGCCGGCAACGUGCACUUCGCCUCUGUUGUCUAUCAUGUGCAACAUGCCCAUCAAGGCCGGCCGGCCAUUACUUUUAAUUUAUCCCAGACUGCAAAGGUGCCGGCCUCUCUCUCCCUUCCAGUAUGCAUGCCCAUCAGCAUCAGGGACUCCUAUGACCCAAUGUAUUUAAGGUUAAUUAUAAUCCUUGGGACAGAAACUGAAACAUUACACUGA